UCAUUUGAUCGAAACAAAAUUAGACCAGAUGAAUUAUUACCGAAAAAAUAGAUAAUGUCUGGCUGUCUUGUGUAUCAUGGAUGUCUAUUUUUUUUUUGUUGUUGUUUUCGAUUUCAUUUGGUCAACGGAUGAAAUCAACGAGAA